rnacentral:rRNA from 1 species
UUUAUUAACGGCCGCGGUACUUUGACCGUGCUAAGGUAGCGCAAUCAAUUGACUUUUAAUUGAAGUCAGGUAUGAAUGGAGUGACGGGGUUUAGCUGUCUCUUUUUUAAUUUAUUGAAAUUACUAUAAAGGUGAAAAAGCCUUUAAUUUAAAAAAAGACGAGAAGACCCUAAGAAUUUAACUUAUAAAGUUUUAUUAACUUAAUGGUUUGGUUGGGGCAACCAGGGAGCAAAAUUAAAAUCUUUCAAUAAAAAUUUAUCGAUUUUUAUAAAAUUAAAUAAAUUACCUUAGGGAUAACAGCACAAUUUGACAUACAAGAUUAUGACCUCGAUGUUGGACUAGGGAAUUAAAAGGCUAGCCGCUUUUWAAAAUGGUUCUGUUCGAACCUUAUACCCCU